AGCAGCCGCGGUAAUUCCAGCUCCAAUAGCGUAUAUUAAAGUUGUUGCAGUUAAAAAGCUCGUAGUUGAAUUUCGGGAUCAAGUCGUCGGUCGUGCUUAGGUACGUACUGGCGUCAUUGAUUUCUCCCUUCUGACGAACCAUGAUGUCAUUAAUUUGGUGUUAUGGGAAAUCAGGACUGUUACUUUGAAAAAAUUAGAGUGUUUAAAGCAGGCUCACGCUUGAAUACAUUAGCAUGGAAUAAUGAAAUAGGACGUUCGAUCCUAUUUUGUUGGUUUUAGGAUCAACGUAAUGAUUAAUAGGGAUAGUUGGGGGCAUUAGUAUUCAAUUGUCAGAGGUGAAAUUCUUGGAUUUAUUGAAGACUAACUACUGCGAAAGCAUUUGCCAAGGAUGUUUUCAUUAAUCAAGAACGAAAGUUAGGGGAUCGAAGACGAUCAGAUACCGUCGUAGUCUUAACCAUAAACUAUGCCGACUAGGGAUCGGAUGAUGUUAAUUUUUUAAUGACUCAUUCGGCGCCUUACG
rnacentral:rRNA from 2 species